CACUAAGCCUAUUUUUGCUUAUUUGUAUCUAAUUGUAAUGAGCCUAUGUAUGGCAAAUUGGUGGAGAACCUUUGUGCUGAACAUGAAAGUAACCUAAUUAAAAUUGAUGACAACAAAAAACUAUAGAAAUGGAUAGGUCUCUGUAAAAUGGAUGGUUGCACUCAUGCGGCAGUUAAGAACUAUGGCAAAGAAUCUCAGGCCAAGGAUGUUACCAAGGAGUAUUUCAAAUGCAAGAAAUGAACAAUUAAAAAACUUAGCCCUUAUUUCUCAAAAAGAAAUCAAAGAGAAAUUUAGAAAUAUUUGAGAAAAAUGAAAACAAAAAACAACAUACCAAAAUUUAUGGGGUGCAGCUUAUACAGGGCUUAAUGAGAAGAAAAAAUCAAUGCUCGUAAAUGGCCAGUAGAAAACAAGAAAGAUCUGAGAUCAAUAACCUAACUUUCUAUCAUAAGAAACAAGAAAUAGAAGACUACCCUAAACCCAAAGCAAACAACAACAAAAAAGAAAUAGGACCAAUCAAAAAGUGGGCAGAUGAUCCAAAUAUACAUUUCUCCCUAAAGAAGACAGACAUAUGGCCUAAAAGCACAAGAAGAGAUGCUCAACAUCGCUAAUUAUUAAAGAAAUGCAAAUCAAAACUACAAUGAGGUAUCACCUCACACCAGUCAGAAUGGCCAUUCUCAAAAAGCUUACAAACAGUAAAUGCUGAAGAGGGUGUGGAGAAAAAGGAACUCUCCAACACUGUUGGUGGAAAUGUAAAUUGGUACAACCACUAUGAAAAACAGUAUGAAGGUUCCUUCAAAAAUUAAAUAUUAACUACCACUUGAUCCAAUAAUCCUACUCCUGACAUAUAUCCAGAGAAGACCAUACUUGAAAAGAUACAUACACGCCAGUGUUCAUUGCAGCAAUGUUUACAAUAGCCAAGGCAUGGAAGCAACCUAAAUAUCCAUCAACAGAGGAAUGGACAAAGAAAACAUGGUACCUAUAUACAAUGGGAUAAUACUCAUCUAUAAAAAGAAUGCAAUAAUGCCAUUAGCAGCAAUAUGGAUGGACCUAGAGAUUGUCAUAAUAAGUAAGUCAGAGAAGGACAAAUGCUAUACACUAUCACUUAUAUGCAGAAUCUAAUAAAAAUGAUAACAAAAGAAAAAAAAAAGAAAUAGGAAAGUUAGAAUGGAAAUUAAAAAUAAAACAGAAAAUAGAAAGUAGAGAAAAUGAAUGACACCAAAAAAUGGUGUCUUUGAAAAGAUCAACAAAAUUGAAAAAAUUGUGACUUGCCAAGCAAGACUGACCAAGGGAAAAAAGAAAGGAGUCACGUUGUUAAUAUCAGGAAUAAGAGAGGAAGUCACCACUACUGACCUUGGAGAAAUAAAUAGGAUUAUACGAGAAUACUAUGAGCAACUAUAAAGCAACAGGUUAGAUAAUUUACAUAAAAUAGGUAAAUUCCUAGAAAGACAAAAACUACUGAAGCUGACUCAAGUAGAAAAUCUGAAUGGACAUACAACAAAAAGAUUAAGUUAAUAAUUUAGAAAUCUUCCCAAAAGCAAAGUCUGAACACAGGUAGCUUCCUUGGGGAACUCCACUAAACAUUUAAAGCAUGUUUACUAACUCUUCUAGAAAACAGGGAAGGGAACACUUCACUAUUCAUUCUAUGAGACCAGUAUUACCCUGAUACUACAGGAAACCAAGGACAUCUUUAGCAAGCUAGAGACCAUAUUCCCUCAAGAAUAUAGUUGUGAACAUCAUUAAAAUGUUAGCAAACCAUCCAGCAACAUUAAAAUGGAUUAUAUGUAACAAUUAAGUAGGUGUUAUCCAAGAAUUGAUUUAGCAUCCAAUAAUCAAUUGGUGUAAUACAUUAGUAGAAAAAAGUUUUUUAAAAAUAACUCAUGAUUGUCUCAAAAGAUGCAGCAAAAGUACUUCACAAAAUUUAACACCUAUUCAUGAUAAAAACCCUCAACAAAAUAAGAACAGAAGGAACAUCCUUAAGAUGAUAAACAGCAUCUAUGAAAAACAUAUAGCUAACAUUAUACCUAAUGGUGAAAGAGUAAAUGUUUUCAUCCUAAAAUUGAGAACAAGACCAAGAUGCCCACUCUCACCAUUUCUGUGAAACCUUGUAGCAGAGGUUCUAGCCAAAGCAGGAAAAGAGAAAUAAAGGUACCUAGAUUUGAACAGGAAAAUAAAACUAUAUUCACAAACAACACUAACCUGUACAUAAAAAAUUCUAAGAAUCUACUAUAAUAGAACUAAUGAACUUGGCACAAUGAUAAAACACAAGAUCAAUAUAACAAAAGUAAACCACAUCUCUAAUAGUUGCAAUGAAUAGUCCAAAAUGAAAUUAAGAAACAAUUCCAUUCACAAUAGCAUUCAAAAGAAUAAAAUACUUAGGAAUAAAUUUAACAAGGAAAGUGCAAGAUUUGUAUUCUGAAAACUAUAAAACAUUGCUGAAAGAAAUUAGAGAUGACCUAAAUAAGUUGUGAAGAUAUGCUACAGGCAUCAAUUUGAAGACAAUAGUUUAAGAUGGAAAUACUUCCAAAAAUGGUCUAGAGAUUUGGUGUACUCCCUAUUAAAAUCUUUCUGGGCUUUUUUCAAAAGUUGACAAGCUGAAUCUAAAAUUCAUGUGGAAAUGCAAAGGACUCAGAAUAGCCAAAACCAUCUUGAAAAAGAACAAUGCUGAAGGACUUAUCUCCUGAUUGCCAACCUUACCACAAAGCUACAGUAAUCAGCAUAUCUCUAAAUACUAAUAUGGUGUGAUCUUCAGGAUAUAUUACUUAAGUUUGAAAAAGAAGAUGGAGAAAUGUAUAUAUAGAAAUAAUAAACUAUAAGUGAUAAAAUGAAAAUUUAAAUGGUUACCUAAAAAGAUGGGAAAGAGGACAAGGAUAGAAACUAAACUUCUUUGAAUAAUUCUUGAACUCUAGAUUUGAUGUUGGAAACAUGUAAAUAUUUUAUAAAAUUACCAAACAAAAUUUAAAUAGCAGUUCCUGAAUAUCAAAAUAUACAAUGGGAGUUCCCAUCAUGGUUCUAUGGAAACAGAUCUGACUAGUAUCUAUGAGGUUCGAUCCCUGGCCUCACUCGGUGGGUUAAGGAUCCAACGUUGCUGUGAGCUGUGGUAUAGGUUGCAGACGCAGCUCAGAUCCCACGUUGCUGUGGCUGUGGUGUAGGCCAGAGGCUACAUUUCCAAUUCAGGCCCUAGCCUGGAAACCUCCAUAUGCCACGGGUGCAGCC
rnacentral:lncRNA from 1 species